rnacentral:rRNA from 1 species
GACGAACGUUGGCGGCGUGCUUAAUACAUGCAAGUCAACUGAAGCAGUGGUAGCAAUAUCGCUGUGGAGGUGGCGCACGGGUGAGUAACACGUAGGUAAUCUGCCUUCAGGUCUGGCAUAACUCCGGGAAACCGGGGCUAAUAGCAGAUGAUGCAGCGGCUCGACAUCGAGACAGUUGUUAAAGCUAUGGCGCCUGAAGAUGAGCCUGCGUCUGAUUAGCUAGUUGGCGGGAUAACGGCCCACCAAGGCAACGAUGAGUAGCUGGUCUGAGAGGAUGAUCAGCCACACUGGAACUGAGACACGGUCCAGGCUAGUACGGGGGGCAGCAGUAAGGAAUAUUGGUCAAUGGGAGAAAUACUGAAGCAGCGACGCCGCGUGAGGGACGAAGGGCUUUUGCUUGUAAAACUCUGUAGUGAGAGAAAAAAAUCCCAAUCUUUGGGACAUGAUGGUAUCUCAAAAGUAAGCCCCGGCUAACUACGUG